rnacentral:rRNA from 1 species
UGCUGGAGGUAUCAGAAGUGCGAAUGCUGACAUAAGUAACGAUAAAGCGGGUGAAAAGCCCGCUCGCCGGAAGACCAAGGGUUCCUGUCCAACGUUAAUCGGGGCAGGGUGAGUCGACCCCUAAGGCGAGGCCGAAAGGCGUAGUCGAUGGGAAACGGGUUAAUAUUCCCGUACUUGGUGUUACUGCGAAGGGGGGACGGAGAAGGCUAUGUUGGCCGGGCGACGGUUGUCCCGGUUUAAGCGUGUAGGUGUGUGUUCCAGGUAAAUCCGGUUCACUUUAACACUGAGGCGUGACGACGAGGCACUACGGUGCUGAAGCAACAAAUGCCCUGCUUCCAGGAAAAGCCUCUAAGCAUCAGGUAACAUCAAAUCGUACCCCAAACCGACACAGGUGGUCAGGUAGAGAAUACCAAGGCGCUUGAGAGAACUCGGGUGAAGGAACUAGGCAAAAUGGUGCCGUAACUUCGGGAGAAGGCACGCUGACAUGUAGGUGAAGUGAUUUACUCAUGGAGCUGAAGUCAGUCGAAGAUACCAGCUGGCUGCAACUGUUUAUUAAAAACACAGCACUGUGCAAACACGAAAGUGGACGUAUACGGUGUGACGCCUGCCCGGUGCCGGAAGGUUAAUUGAUGGGGUCAGCGCAAGCGAAGCUCCUGAUCGAAGCCCCGGUAAACGGCGGCCGUAACUAUAACGGUCCUAAGGUAGCGAAAUUCCUUGUCGGGUAAGUUCCGACCUGCACGAAUGGCGUAAUGAUGGCCAGGCUGUCUCCACCCGAGACUCAGUGAAAUUGAACUCGCUGUGAAGAUGCAGUGUACCCGCGGCAAGACGGAAAGACCCCGUGAACCUUUACUAUAGCUUGACACUGAACAUUGAGCCUUGAUGUGUAGGAUAGGUGGGAGGCUUUGAAGUGUGGACGCCAGUCUGCAUGGAGCCGGCCUUGAAAUACCACCCUUUAAUGUUUGAUGUUCUAACGUGGACCCGUGAUCCGGGUUGCGGACAGUGUCUGGUGGGUAGUUUGACUGGGGCGGUCUCCUCCUAAAGAGUAACGGAGGAGCACGAAGGUUGGCUAAUCCUGGUCGGACAUCAGGAGGUUAGUGCAAUGGCAUAAGCCAGCUUGACUGCGAGCGUGACGGCGCGAGCAGGUGCGAAAGCAGGUCAUAGUGAUCCGGUGGUUCUGAAUGGAAGGGCCAUCGCUCAACGGAUAAAAGGUACUCCGGGGAUAACAGGCUGAUACCGCCCAAGAGUUCAUAUCGACGGCGGUGUUUGGCACCUCGAUGUCGGCUCAUCACAUCCUGGGGCUGAAGUAGGUCCCAAGGGUAUGGCUGUUCGCCAUUUAAAGUGGUACGCGAGCUGGGUUUAGAACGUCGUGAGACAGUUCGGUCCCUAUCUGCCGUGGGCGCUGGAGAACUGAGGGGGGCUGCUCCUAGUACGAGAGGACCGGAGUGGACGCAUCACUGGUGUUCGGGUUGUCAUGCCAAUGGCACUGCCCGGUAGCUAAAUGCGGAAGAGAUAAGUGCUGAAAGCAUCUAAGCACGAAACUUGCCCCGAGAUGAGUUCUCCCUGAGACUUAGAGUCUCCUGAAGGAACGUUGAAGACGACGACGUUGAUAGGCCGGGUGUGUAAGCGCAGCGAUGCGUUGAGCUAACCGGUACUAAUGAACCGUGAGGCUUAACCUUACAACGCCGAAG